rnacentral:rRNA from 1 species
AUUGAACGCUGGCGGUAUGCUUAACACAUGCAAGUCGAACGGCAACGGAGUCUAGCUUGCUAGACAGACGGCGAGUGGCGAACGGGUGAGUAACGCGUAGGAAUAUACCUUAAAGAGGGGGACAACUUGGGGAAACUCAAGCUAAUACCGCAUAAUUUCUGAGGAAAGAAGCUGGGGACCGUAAGGCCUGGCGCUUUAAGAUUAGCCGCGUCCGAUUAGCUAGUUGGUGAGGUAAGUGCUUACCAAGGCGACGAUCGGUAGCUGGUCUGAGAGGAUGAUCAGCCACACUGGGACUGAGACACGGCCCAGACUCCUACGGGAGGCAGCAGUGGGGAAUAUUGGACAAUGGGGGGAACCCUGAUCCAGCAAUACCGCGUGUGUGAAGAAGGCCUGAGGGUUGUAAAGCACUUUCAGUGGGGAGGAGGAUGUAUAGGUUAAGAGCUAAUAUGUUGGACGUUACCCACAGAAGAAGCACCGGCUAACUCCGUGCCAGCAGCCGCGGUAA